AUGAAGAGCACAGUGGUGGCACUCUUGCUGCUGGUGGCGGUGCAAUGCCUCGCGCUGGGCCCCGGCACGACGGCGGCGGCGAAGCCGCGGCGCACGCGGCAGGGCGACUACCUGAACCGGCUGCGCGGGUCGCCGUCUUCCCGCGUGUCCUGGGAGUCGCUGGCGGCCGUGGAGGAGGAGGAGACGACGACGAAAGCGACGGGUAGACCCGCGCCGGCGGCGGCUGCGGCGGAGGCCGGGCGCAAGGAGGCCGACCGCGUGGAGGCGCUGCCCGGGCAGCCGAGCGGCGUGGACUUCUCACAGUACGCCGGGUACGUGACGGUGGACCCGGCGGCCGGGCGCGCGCUGUUCUACUACCUCGCCGAGGCCGUCGGCGGCAACGGCGACGGGUCGUCGUCCAAGGGCAAGCCGCUCCUGCUCUGGCUCAACGGCGGCCCGGGGUGCUCGUCGCUGGGGUACGGCGCCAUGGAGGAGCUCGGCCCGUUUCGCGUCAUGAGCGACGGCAAGACGCUCUACCGCAACCCCUACUCCUGGAACCACGCGGCGAACGUGCUGUUCCUGGAGAGCCCGGCGGGGGUGGGGUACUCGUACUCGAACACGACGGCGGACUACGGCCGGAGCGGGGACAACCGGACGGCGGAGGACGCGUACCUGUUCCUGGCUAACUGGAUGGAGCGGUUCCCGGAGUACAAGGGCCGCGAGUUCUACAUCACCGGCGAGAGCUACGCCGGCCACUACGUGCCGCAGCUGGCCCACGCCAUCCUCCGCCACGCCUCCCCGGCCAUCAACCUCAAAGGCAUCAUGAUUGGGAACGCGGUGAUCAACGACUGGACGGACAGCAAGGGCAUGUACGACUUUUUCUGGACGCACGCGCUCAUCUCCGACGAGACGGCCGCCGGCAUCAACAAGAACUGCAACUUCACGGCCGCCGGCGCCGGCGCGGCGCCCAGCGCGCUCUGCUACGACGCGUCGGACGAGGCCAGCGAGAGCCUCCGGGACAUCGACAUCUACAACAUCUACGCGCCCAACUGCCAGUCGGAGAAGCUCGUCACACCGCCCAUCGCCCCCUCGAUCGACAACUUUGACCCGUGCACGGACUACUACGUGGAAGCGUACCUCAACCGCCCGGACGUGCAGAAGGCGAUGCACGCCAACGUCACCCGCCUCGACCACCCCUGGUCAGCCUGCAGUGACGUCUUGACACGCUGGGUCGACAGCGCCAAAACAGUCCUGCCUAUUAUCCGGGAGCUGAUGAAGAACAACAUCAGAGUCUGGGUUUACAGUGGAGACACUGACGGGAGAGUGCCCGUCACUUCCAGUAGACUCUCUGUCAACCAGCUCCAGCUCCCUGUGGCGGCAAAAUGGAGGCCAUGGUUCAGCAGCACCAAGGGUGCCGGAGAGGUGGGUGGAUACAUUGUGCAGUACAAGGGUGAUCUCAGCUUGGUAACUGUCAGAGGAGCAGGCCAUGAGGUCCCCAGCUACCAGCCGCGGCAAGCCCUUGUGCUUGUCCAGAAUUUCCUCACAGGCAAAGCUCUCCCUGACUGCAAAGAAUGCGAACAAGAUUAG
rnacentral:rRNA from 1 species